GGGGACGUAGCUCAGCUGGGAGAGCGCCUGCUUUGCAAGCAGGAAGUCAGGGGUUCGAAUCCCCUCGUCUCCA
rfam:Thermosipho melanesiensis BI429, complete genome.